GAGGUUCGAUUAGUCUUUCGCCCCUAUACCCAGUUCAUACGAUCGAUUUGCACGUCAGAAUCGCUACGGACCUCCAUCAGGGUUUCCCCUGACUUCAUCCUGACCAGGCAUAGUUCACCAUCUUUCGGGUCCCAGCGUGUACGCUCUUGGUGCGCCACAACUUGCAAUAAGUAUGCAACGCCCCGGGAAUGCGAGGUAACAUAAAUAACGUAACCUAUCUUCCCUUUAUAAAAAUG
rnacentral:rRNA from 1 species